GACGAACGCUGGCGGCGUGCUUAACACAUGCAAGUCGAACGGAAAGGCCCUGCUUUUGUGGGGUGCUCGAGUGGCGAACGGGUGAGUAACACGUGAGUAACCUGCCCUUGACUUUGGGAUAACUUCAGGAAACUGGGGCUAAUACCGGAUAGGAGCUCCUGCUGCAUGGUGGGGGUUGGAAAGUUUCGGCGGUUGGGGAUGGACUCGCGGCUUAUCAGCUUGUUGGUGGGGUAGUGGCUUACCAAGGCUUUGACGGGUAGCCGGCCUGUGAGGGUGACCGGCCACAUUGGGACUGAGAUACGGCCCAGACUCCUACGGGAGGCAGCAGUGGGGAAUAUUGCACAAUGGGCGGAAGCCUGAUGCAGCAACGCCGCGUGCGGGAUGACGGCCUUCGGGUUGUAAACCGCAUUCGCCUGUGACGAAGCGUGAGUGACGGUAAUGGGUAAAGAAGCACCGGCUAACUACGUG
rnacentral:rRNA from 1 species